GAAAUGCGAUAAUUAAUGUGAAUUGCAGAAUUCAGUGAAUCAUCGAGUCUUUGAACGCACAUUGCGCCCCCUGGUAUUCCGGGGGGCAUGCCUGUCCGAGCGUCAUUGCUGCCCUCAAGCACGGCUUGUGUGUUGGGCUUCCGUCCCUGGCAACGGGGACGGGCCCAAAAGGCAGUGGCGGCACCAUGUCUGGUCCUCGAGCGUAUGGGGCUUUGUCACCCGCUCCCGUAGGUCCAGCUGGCAGCUAGCCUCGCAACCAAUCUUUUUAACCAGGUUGACCUCUGAUCAGGUAGGGAUACCCGCUGAACUUAAGC
rnacentral:misc_RNA from 1 species